rnacentral:rRNA from 1 species
UAGGGAAUCUUCGGCAAUGGGGGGAACCCUGACCGAGCAACGCCGCGUGAGUGAAGAAGGUUUUCGGAUCGUAAAGCUCUGUUGCUAAGGAAGAACGAGUGUGAGAAUGGAAAGUUCAUGCUGUGACGGUACUUAACCAGAAAGGGACGGCUAACUACGUGCCAGCAGCCGCGGUAAUACGUAGGUCCCGAGCGUUGUCCGGAUUUAUUGGGCGUAAAGCGAGCGCAGGCGGUUAGAAAAGUCUGAAGUGAAAGGCAGUGGCUCAACCAUUGUAGGCUUUGGAAACUGUUUAACUUGAGUGCAGAAGGGGAGAGUGGAAUUCCAUGUGUAGCGGUGAAAUGCGUAGAUAUAUGGAGGAACACCGGUGGCGAAAGCGGCUCUCUGGUCUGUAACUGACGCUGAGGCUCGAAAGCGUGGGGAGCGAACAGG